rfam:Cricetulus griseus cell line CHO-K1, whole genome shotgun sequence.
CCUUCGAUAGCUCAGUUGGUAGAGCGGAGGACUGUAGUGGAUAAGCUGUAGCGAUCCUUAGGUCGCUGGUUCGAUUCCGGCUCGAAGGA